rnacentral:rRNA from 1 species
CAAAGGUAGCGUAAUCACUUGUCUAUUAAUUGUAGACCUGUAUGAAAGGCAAAAUGAGAGCCCAACUGUCUCUUAUAACAAAUCAAUUAAACUGAUCUUCUAGUCCAAAAGCUAGAAUAUUUACAUAAGACCAGAAGACCCUGUGAAGCUUUAACUAACCUAUUAAACCUAAUAAUAACUACUUUCGGUUGGGGCGACCUUGGAAUAAAAAAGAACUUCCAAUCAUAUGACUUCUCAUAAAAUAAGGCAGACAAGCCACACUAGACCCAGUAUUACUGAUAAUUGAAAUAAGUUACUCCAGGGAUAACAGCGCUAUCUUCUUUUAGAGCCCAUAUCAAAAAGAAGGUUUACGACCUCGAUGUUGGAUCAGGACAUCCCAGUAAUGCAACCGUUACUAAAGGUUCGUUUGUUCAACGAUUAAUAGUCCUACGUGAUCUGAGUUCAGA